rnacentral:siRNA from 1 species
AUGCCAAAACCUAUAAUCUUUGCA